GGAAAUUCAAUUAAGCAUAUCACAAAAUCCAACCUAACCAUAUAUCACAAUUAAUCAUCAUCUGGGAGCCACUCGUCAAACGGACCAAACUCAAAAAUCAGAUUGUGGGUUCGAAAAUUUAUUCUCACCCUCUACAGUUUACUAACCCCAUGUGAUUGGAAAAAUUUGUGACAUGACAUGUGUCCGUAUUCACUGAUAAAAGCCGACGAACAUCUAUUAAUAUUCCCUGUUUCAAAAUUUUAAAAAAUAAAUAAACAAACUAUUUAAAUUUGUAUUUGCAUCAAAACAAAAACAGUAAAAGAAAGCUACUUAAGAG
rnacentral:lncRNA from 1 species